rnacentral:rRNA from 1 species
AACAGGAUUAGAUACCCUGGUAGUCCACGCCGUAAACGAUGAGUGCUAGGUGUUAGGGGUUUCGAUACCCUUGGUGCCGAAGUUAACACAUUAAGCACUCCGCCUGGGGAGUACGGUCGCAAGACUGAAACUCAAAGGAAUUGACAGGGACCCGCACAAGCAGUGGAGUAUGUGGUUUAAUUCGAAGCAACGCGAAGAACCUUACCAGGUCUUGACAUCCAACUAACGAAGCAGAGAUGCAUCAGGUGCCCUUCGGGGAAAGUUGAGACAGGUGGUGCAUGGUUGUCGUCAGCUCGUGUCGUGAGAUGUUGGGUUAAGUCCCGCAACGAGCGCAACCCUUAUAUUUAGUUGCCAGCACUUCGGGUGGGCACUCUAGAUAGACUGCCGGUGACAAACCGGAGGAAGGUGGGGAUGACGUCAAAUCAUCAUGCCCCUUAUGACCUGGGCUACACACGUACUACAAUGGCCGGUAUAACGGGCUGCGAAAUCGCGAGAUGGAGCCAAUCCCAACAAAGCCGGUCUCAGUUCGGAUUGCAGGCUGCAACUCGCCUGCAUGAAGUCGGGAUUGCUAGUAAUCGCGGAUCAGCAUGCCGCGGUGAAUACGUUCCCGGGUCUUGUACACACCGCCCGUCACACCACGAGAGUUUACAACACCCGAAGUCGGUGGGGUAACCCGCAAGGGGGCCAGCCGCCGAAGGUGGGGUAGAUGAUUGGGGUGAAGUCGUAACAAGGUAACC